CUGACGUCACCAAGCUUCACAAUGACGUCAGUUUGCUACUUGGGUAGGUUGCGAUACCUUGUUCAGCUUGAGGAAGAUGCAGGGAGCGGAUUUGUGGUAGUUGUAUCUGUUUUCCUUGGUGCAGGGAUGCCAGUUUUUCACGUCGACAUCGCAAACUUUUCCGGGCGGUGGCGGCUGAUUGUAAUCGCACUUGUUAAUGUUAGCGCCGAGACCAAGAACAGAUCCAGGCGUUAUAUAAUCUGAAAGAAUGACAGAAGAUAUUACAAGAGAUGCUGAAAUUGUUUAAUCUAAAUAUUACAGACAUUUAAUUAUAGAAAUGUAUUUUUUUAAAUCAGCAUUCGACAUCGAAUAAUGAAUUUUUCCUUGCGCUACCUUUGAGAAAGUCUUGUAGUGAAUCAACCCAGUGUUUGAAGUUUUCGCUGUCAGUGCCUCUGUACCAGAUCAAGGUGCUCUCCACAUUUUCCUCCGGUGGCAUUGGCCUGAAUCCUAAUCCUACGAAGGCGUAAUAUUUAAAUCAAGAUGGAUAACGUUAUCAGGAAAUAAAACUUACCCGGAUUUGUUCCAAUAAUGGAUCUCUCAAGCUGCCACCUUGGUAUCCUUGGAUCGAGUGUUUGGAAGAAUCCCCAGAAACAAAUGGCGACGAGUGCUGCCAGGACGCCGUAAAAUAUCAGGUAAAAGAGUCCGAUUUUGCCUGUAAAUAAAAUGACGUAAAAAAUUA